UACGAAGGGGGCUAGCGUUGCUCGGAAUCACUGGGCGUAAAGGGUGCGUAGGCGGGUCUUUAAGUCAGGGGUGAAAUCCUGGAGCUCAACUCCAGAACUGCCUUUGAUACUGAAGAUCUUGAGUUCGGGAGAGGUGAGUGGAACUGCGAGUGUAGAGGUGAAAUUCGUAGAUAUUCGCAAGAACACCAGUGGCGAAGGCGGCUCACUGGCCCGGUACUGACGCUGAGGUGCGAAAGCGCGGGGAGCAAACAGG
rnacentral:rRNA from 1 species